GACGAACGCUGGCGGCGUGCUUAACACAUGCAAGUCGAACGGAAAGGCUCUACCUUUGUGGAGUUCUCGAGUGGCGAACGGGUGAGUAACACGUGUGUAAUCUGCCCUUCACUUUGGGAUAACUCUUGGAAACUGGGUCUAAUACUGGAUAUGAUCUUUUUCUGCAUGGUGUUUGUUGGAAAGUUUCGGCGGUUGUGGAUAGUCUCCCGGCUUAUCCGCUGGUUUGUGGGGUAGUGGCUUACAAAGCUUCGGACGGGUAGCCGGCAUGAGAGGGUGACCGGCCACAUGGGGACUGAGAUACGGCCCAGACUCCUACGGGAGGCAGCAGUGGGGAAUAUUGCACAAUGGGCGGAAGCCUGAUGCAGAGACGCCGCGUGCGGGAUGACGGCCUUCGGGUUGUAAACAUCUGUCAGCAGGGACGAAGCGUGAGUGACGGUAACUGAAAAAGAAGCACCGGCUAACUACGUG
rnacentral:rRNA from 1 species